rnacentral:rRNA from 1 species
GACGAACGCUGGCGGCGUGGAUUAGGCAUGCAAGUCGAACGGUAUCAUCCUUUCGGGGGUGAGAGAGUGGCGAACUGGUGAGUAACACGUAGGUUAUCUACCCUCAAGACGGGGACAACCCAGGGAAACUUGGGCUAAUACCGGAUGUGAGCAACUUUUAGUUGUUGAAAGGUGGCGUAAGCUGUCGCUUGGGGAUGAGCCUGCGUCCUAUUAGUUAGUUGGUGAGGUAACGGCUCACCUAGGCAAUGAUAGGUAGGCGGCCUUAACGGGUGGUCGCCCACACUGGGAUUGAGAUACGGCCCAGACUCCUACGGGAGGCAGCAGUCGAGAAUAGUCUACAAUGGUCGGAAGACUGAUAGUGCGACGCCGCGUGAACGAUGAAUCCCUUCGGGGUGUAAAGUUCUUUUAUAUGUGAGCAGUGCUUCUUAUAUUAACAGUAUGGGGAGAGAGAUAUUAGCAUAUGAAUAAGCAACGGCUAACUCCGUG